GAUGAACGCUGGCGGCGUGCCUAAUACAUGCAAGUCGAGCGAACAGAUGAGGAGCUUGCUCCUCUGACGUUAGCGGCGGACGGGUGAGUAACACGUGGAUAACCUACCUAUAAGACUGGGAUAACUUCGGGAAACCUGAGCUAAUACCGGAUAAUAUAUUGAACCGCAUGGUUCAAUAGUGAAAGACGGUUUUGCUGUCACUUAUAGAUGGAUCCGCGCCGCAUUAGCUAGUUGGUAAGGUAACGGCUUACCAAGGCAACGAUGCGUAGCCGACCUGAGAGGGUGAUCGGCCACACUGGAACUGAGACACGGUCCAGACUCCUACGGGAGGCAGCAGUAGGGAAUCUUCCGCAAUGGGCGAAAGCCUGACGGAGCAACGUCGCGUGAGUGAUGAAGGUCUUCGGAUCGUAAAACUCUGUUAUUAGGGAAGAACAAAUGUGUAAGUAACUAUGCACGUCUUGACGGUACCUAAUCAGAAAGCCACGGCUAACUACGUG
rnacentral:rRNA from 1 species